rnacentral:tRNA from 1 species
UGGCUUAGUGGGUAAAGCGUCUGCCUGCCAUGUGGGAGACCCGGGUGCGAUCCCCGG